GCAAGGCAAUCUAUCCGCCCUUAUUCCAACUCCAACGAUUCUGCCGAGUUGACAUCGGUGAGAAUUGAAUUCAGGUCGCUGGAAUAAUUACCGCACAGCAAUUUAUCCGACGCUCUAAUGAUCCUACCAAUUGACCGCCUAAAUAAGAAAAAAAGGAUCAGCAGUAUUUUUAUGUAUACACAGUGUACACAUAAAAAGUCUUGAUUAAUCGAAGUGUCCAUCGCUUGCUGGGGAAGAAAAACAAAGACCUAGUGACUACUGUUAAAGCUCUCAAAAAAAUAAAUAAACGGAGGGCUGAGAUAAUUUCAAGAAACCAAGUAUUAAUUUCUAAAUUAAUUCAGAUGCUCCGACAAAAAGGACGAUGUUUGUUUACAUGUUAGGGAGAGCUCUGGACAUUUUUCGCUCAAUUAAACCUCGUCACCACAGUAGAGUCUAACCAAGCCUGCAGGCCAUUCAUUAGAUUUUUUCAUACAGAAGAUAAAAGCAACGAAUAAUUUUUUGGCCAAAAUAGUUUCGAUAAUUCAUGGCGCUCAUUGUUAAUAUUAGUUUUUCCUGGCUCAAGGAAAAAUUUGAGCGCAAACCCACAAGUUAACGAAACAUUUGUCAACAAAAUCCUUAGAAUAGUUGGCAUAACUGGUCCUGCUGUAUUUACUUGCUGACCUUUUACGCUGUACGUUCAAAUUCCGUGGUGAUCACCCUUUCGAUGUCAAUAAAACAAAGUAGCAGUCAAGUACUGGAGCUAAUUUACUUGACGGUUAUCUCCCAAAAUUUCGAUCUUCUGGUACCUGUUUCAAAUCAGUUAUACUGAGCUUCCGAUGGCCCUGAAAGCUCUUCUUUAAAAUAUUUUCUCCAAAAUAUUUCUUCUUUGAUUUAGCAUGUAUUUACAACUAAGGUGAAUGAAUCACUGAUAGUUUAAGUAUUUAUAUGGAGACAAUACGAACUGCCAACCUUUUGAUCAGAAGAGCAGUAAUUCAUCUUAAUGUAACUAACUGUGAAUCUAGUCACAUGUCUCUAUGGUUAAGAAGCUUAUUUCACAACUCUGUGGCCCCACUAAGGUUAAAUUAGGUAACCACGGACCGAACAAAGCCUUGUACGUAAAAUUAGAUCAAUGGAAACAGAAAGGAAACUUGUUGCAUCAAAUGAACAAGUCUUUGGAUGGUCGGCUUAAUUUGGUGCUCUGUUUGAUAAUACUAUCUCAACCUUGGGUGCCUCUCACAGAAUAUAUUCUGUUGCAAACGUCUUCUCCAGUCUAUGAAAACUCCAUAUCUUGAUGUGUCAUCUCCUCCUCCUUCCCAUCCUACUUUCAUUCUUUCUUUCAACCCACGAGUCAUGGUUUCUUCCUGCCUUUCCUCUUAACAUCCCCGGAAGCUCUAGAAAAGGUCAUGGACGCUACUUUUUCUCCUCCAAGCGAUAAAACAUAGCCAUGAGUGAAUAACAUGACAAAUAUGAAAGAAUUAAACAAAAUCCACACACUUUAGAACAGAAAUGAUAUUCAAUGCUCUAUAGUUUUGGAUAUCGUUUUCUGACAUUUAUGAUGUCUUUUCAUUUUCCGGACGAAACUACGCGAAACUUCUCAGGAACAAAACACUUGAAUGUUGAUGCUUCAUUACGUUUUAUGCCUAACUAUUCAUCGAAUGUUUAACUGAGAUGGCAAAACUUUGUUAAAAUUGGAGAAAAUAUUAUUAUUAUUAUUAUUAUUAUUAUUAUUAUUAUUAUUAUUAAUUUUAUUGCAGAACAAGAAAGUUUUCCACUUCAUAUAUGUCCGCAAGGUAACUUGAUAAAUUUAUCUCUCAAUUCAAUAUCUAUUAACGAUUCAAUAUGUCUGUCAUGUUACCUUAGCGCUAUGUCGUUUAUAGCAAUUUUACUGAUAGUCUUGUGUUGGCGAGGUGGAGGCGUAUGUAAGGUACUGGGGAAAUAGACUCUUUAAGAAAAGGAACUUAAUCUGGUUUCUUCCUUUUGCUACAGUUUUCUGAGUUACUCGUCAUAGAAAUGUGUCAUGCAUUACAGUCGAAGAUAUCUGCUAGCUUAUCUCAACCUCAUCACUCUUCCUCAAUAAGAACGUUGAAUCUAUCUUGAGUUUUAUUCAUAUGAAGAUUUAGACACUGCACAACAAGUUAAUGUAACAUUUAUUAUCAUACUGUCAGGAAUAUAAUAUAUCGUGUUUGUAGUGAGGCCGACUAGUGAUAUAUGGGUAAGAUUUAACUAAUAUACUCAAGGUAUAUACCGUAAUAAGAAAAACAUUAUCAGCGUUAAUGACUAGUUUUGUCAAAGUAUACAAGGGAAAGAACUCUGAAAUUUAAAUUGAUUAAGAAUUAAAUGGAAACAAGGAAGUGAGAAGUGAGUCUAGUCUUUGAAUGCUUGUGAAGAGGGAUAUAGUUUUGCGUGAGAAAUUAUCCAGUAAUUAAACAAUUCAGGACUAAAAAACUGGAAAUUUUACCAGGAAUGCCAUCUGCUUGAAGAACAUGUAGUCAAGUGUGGGCUAAAAUCCUUAAUGCCGUGAACCAAGAGAUGUGCCUUUGCUCAGAUCCGAGUAAAUAUGUUAAAAGACUGAGAACAGAUGUAACACGCGUAUCCCAUUUGAACCGGCAAUAUGUGGAAGGCCUAGUGCAAAAGAUAUGCAUUCAUUUAAAUCUACGCCUUAAGCAUUUUAGUAAACAGUGUUGAAUACAUUUGAUUUAUGUAUGCGUUAGAGUUAUAUGUACAUGAAGAGCAUAUGUUGUAGCAGGACAGAAUAAAAGAACUAGAGUAAUUUAGAAAAAGUAUAUAAUUCUUUAACAAUGGGUACUUUUGGGGCGUCUUACAAGAGUAAUAGGUCUCUUCAGAAUCAUAAAUCCAUGCCAACUAAUCUAUCUGCCCCACUUCUGAUCUGCCCUGCUUUCGCCACGGAUACACUCUUCCAUCAUUUAGCUAGUACAUCAUUAGUCUCAAGACUCAUUCAGUCGUUCUCACUUCGAGCAGGACACGUUACAAUUAUUUUUAUCUUCACUUCGUCAGAGCUGAAAAAGUUUGGAUUUAAUAUUUGUCUUUUAAGAUGUAAAUUGUCAAUAUGAAAUCCUUCAUGGUCAAAUAAGACAUCCGUCUGACGAUUGAUGCCUCUGUAUGAUGAGUUUAGUGUGGAAAGCCCAGCACAUGAAAGAUCAUAACUGAAACCUCUGCCAUUGUCUUCACAUCUUCUGGAGCAUCCUUUUCCAUUUUCUGAGAUUUCCUUGAAGCAUGGCUCAGUGGUUAAAGCGUCGGGCUCACAAUCAUGAGGUUGUGUUCGAUUCCCAGGCCGGAUUGUCAGUUGUGUUCUUGAGCAAGAGACUUUAUUUCACGUUGCUCCAGUUCACUCAGUUGUAGAAAUGAGUUGUGACGUCACUGGUGUCAAACUGUGUCGGUCGUUGCCUUUCCCUAGGAGAACACCAGUGGCGUGGGUAGGGGAGACUGGUAUGCAUGAGUGACUACUGGUAUUCCACAAAAACAACCUUGCUCGGACUUGUGUUUCGGGAGGGAACUUUCUAAGGGCAAUCACAUGGUCAGUCAUGACCGAAAGGGGCCUUGCCUAACACCUCCCUCACUAUUGUAUGCGACUUCCUUUUCCCACUGACUGAAACUUCAUUGUUUAAGAGACUCCUUUUUUCUAUUUUCUGAUACUCUUCUUGUCUAGUAAUCUGAAAAUGCCCACUUUUUCUUAUUUUCUAAGACUUUCUUUUUCCCAUUGUCUGAGAAUCCCUUUUGCCCAUUGUCUAAAACUCUUUUACUGUUGUCUGAGACUUUCUUUUCCCAUUAUCUGAGACAUCACUUUCUUGUUGUCUGAGGCCCCUCUCUUUUCAUUGUUUUUAGACUCACCUUUUCCAAAAACUGGGACACCUGUUGUCUGAGGCACCCACUUUCCCAUUAUAUGAUGCUUUUAUUCGCAGGAAGAUUUUAAAACAUCUGUCAAGUUCACGAAAAACUAAUCAAUUUCACAGAGUUGAUGGAGUAUAUAACGAUCAGCCGUUUAUACUUUACAAUGCAUACAUGCAUCAAGAUGGACAUCUAAGAGUCAAUUAUCCGAACUACGAACAUAAGACAAUACCAGUGAGAGGAUAUACAUCACUCACCACUCGUUCGGUUGUGCACUCCCCUACUAACUUCGCCAUCCACGCUUUCAGUCUGCAAAUAACCGCUGAUUAUUUGUUGGCCGAUUAAUGUGUGCUUAUCUAGUUUUUCAGUGUCUGGGAGAAAAUCACAUCCCAAAUCUAAAAUACAUCACAAAUCUAAAACACCCACAGCUUUUGAUAAGCUGUCUCGUCAUAAAAGAUUGCGUAAGGUUAGUCUUAUGUAACCAUUUUGUAACCGUCACAGAAACACGUGUAAAGACGUUUAUAAGUAAAUAAUUUCAAAUAAUAUUCUUAGUAUCCUUACUCUGUGACCAUUAUACCCAGCAAACCUGUAACAUGAAAUUUCGCUAUUUCACUAUAUCGCUAUAAUAAUACAAACUUCCUUCCUAGGCAUCUGUUUUACAGUACCAUGUAUUAUGUGAAAUUCUAGCUCAAUGGUUAUGCAACUCUAAUAGGCAUAUAUAUAUA
rnacentral:lncRNA from 1 species